rnacentral:lncRNA from 1 species
CUCAGUGGACGCCCACAUCUGCCUCUGGUCAAGCUGAGCUGAAGCAUAUCUCCAUAUCUGACUGGCUCUCGGGCACCCAAAAAGAACAUGGUAGAUGGUCUCCUCCAUCGCCUGACAAGCUCCACAUCCAGCAGGAACUUUCACUCCCCGCCUCACCAGAACCCACUAGUAGGUAAACAUCCUCAAGCCACCUUCCACAGGAACAAGGCCACUUGGGGGUGAAUGUGCAUCCUCCAAAUCCAGCCGCAGUCCAUCUGUCGCGCUGAGGGCCUUCUACCUAUCGACAAGAGGUCCCGAACUCUCACAGUCGUCCUCCCUGUCCUGCUCCAUACCCUCUUGUCCACUGCCUCCCCCUCUGGGAUCGGCAGAGCCAGGACGCGCUCAGCAAGGUGCUCCCCGAAUACCUGCUAAACAAGACUCGCGUCCCACCUCCGCUCCCCC